rnacentral:Y_RNA from 1 species
GGCUGGUCCCAAGGUAGUGAAUUAUCUCCAUUGAUUGUUCACAGUCAGGUACAGAUCAAACUCCUGUUCUACUCUUUUUUCCCCUUCUCACUAUUGCCCUUGGCAAGACUUAA